GGCAGUGGUAGCUCAGUGGUUAAGACAUGGGUCUGCUGCUCAGAAGAUCAUGAGUUCAAACCCCAGUACUGCCA